CGUAGCGGGGUGGCAACAGAUGGCUCUUAAAAGGCUACCGUCGCGCCAUCUAGCCAGUUAUCUACCGACCACAUCGGUUCGGACUGACACCAGAAGGUUUCGAAGGCAUCCGCAUCAACGUUUCAUCUCUCGGACAUGUCCCACAUCCACACAAUCGGCACGUCUUCCUUUAAGAAGAACUUCCACUUCUUACGUUCUCUUAUAAAGUUUGGCAAUAUUUACCCGUGUUUUUUCUGGCAACUUUGAAGCAAUUUCGGA